UACGUAGGGUGCAAGCGUUGUCCGGAGUUAUUGGGCGUAAAGAGCUUGUAGGCGGUUUGUCGCGUCUGCUGUGAAAUUUCGGGGCUCAACCCCGAACUUGCAGUGGGUACGGGCAGACUAGAGUGUGGUAGGGGAGACUGGAAUUCCUGGUGUAGCGGUGAAAUGCGCAGAUAUCAGGAGGAACACCGAUGGCGAAGGCAGGUCUCUGGGCCGCUACUGACGCUGAGAAGCGAAAGCAUGGGGAGCGAACAGG
rnacentral:rRNA from 1 species